UUUGAACGAGUGGCGGACGGGUGAGUAACACGUGGGUAACCUGCCCUUAAGUGGGGGAUAACAUUUGGAAACAGAUGCUAAUACCGCAUAAAUCCAAGAACCGCAUGGUUCUUGGCUGAAAGAUGGCGUAAGCUAUCGCUUUUGGAUGGACCCGCGGCGUAUUAGCUAGUUGGUGAGGUAACGGCUCACCAAGGCAAUGAUACGUAGCCGAACUGAGAGGUUGAUCGGCCACAUUGGGACUGAGACACGGCCCAAACUCUACGGGAGGCAGCAGUAGGGAAUCUUCCACAAUGGACGCAAGUCUGAUGGAGCAACGCCGCGUGAGUNAAGAAGGCUUUCGGGUCGUAAAACUCUGUUGUUGGAGAAGAAUGGUCGGCAGAGUAACUGUUGUCGGCGUGACGGUAUCCAACCAGAAAGCCACGGCUAACUACGUGCCAGCAGCCGCGGUAAUACGUAGGUGGCAAGCGUUAUCCGGAUUUAUUGGGCGUAAAGCGAGCGCAGGCGGUUUUUUAAGUCUGAUGUGAAAGCCCUCGGCUUAACCGAGGAAGUGCAUCGGAAACUGGGAAACUUGAGUNCAGAAGAGGACAGUGGAACUCCAUGUGUAGCGGUGAAAUGCGUAGAUAUAUGGAAGAACACCAGUGGCGAAGGCGGCUGUCUGGUCUGUAACUGACGCUGAGGCUCGAAAGCAUGGGUAGCGAACAGGAUUAGAUACCCUGGUAGUCCAUGCCGUAAACGAUGAAUGCUAGGUGUUGGAGGGUUUCCGCCCUUCAGUGCCGCAGCUAACGCAUUAAGCAUUCCGCCUGGGGAGUACGACCGCAAGGUUGAAACUCAAAGGAAUUGACGGGGGCCCGCACAAGCGGUGGAGCAUGUGGUUUAAUUCGAAGCAACGCGAAGAACCUUACCAGGUCUUGACAUCUUUUGAUCACCUGAGAGAUCAGGUUUCCCCUUCGGGGGCAAAAUGACAGGUGGUGCAUGGUUGUCGUCAGCUCGUGUCGUGAGAUGUUGGGUUAAGUCCCGCAACGAGCGCAACCCUUAUGACUAGUUGCCAGCAUUUAGUUGGGCACUCUAGUAAGACUGCCGGUGACAAACCGGAGGAAGGUGGGGAUGACGUCAAAUCAUCAUGCCCCUUAUGACCUGGGCUACACACGUGCUACAAUGGAUGGUACAACGAGUUGCGAGACCGCGAGGUCAAGCUAAUCUCUUAAAGCCAUUCUCAGUUCGGACUGUAGGCUGCAACUCGCCUACACGAAGUCGGAAUCGCUAGUAAUCGCGGAUCAGCACGCCGCGGUGAAUACGUUCCCGGGCCUUGUACACACCGCCCGUCACACCAUGAGAGUUUGUAACACCCGAAGCCGGUGGCGUAACCCUUUUAGGGAGCGAGCCGUCUAAGGUGGGNCAAAUGAUUAGGGUGAAGUCGUAACAAGGUAGCCGUAGGAGAACC
rnacentral:rRNA from 2 species